CCAACUUUACUAACCAGCAGUAAUGUAAUGUAAAGUGACCUUAAAGAUCAUUACAAGCAGUCAAAUCGAUGUUUCCAGUAGCCGGAAAGCUGUUGUAAUCCAUGUUCCCUACAGAUUGAGCAAAGCUUUUCGUAGGGUUCAUGUUAAGCUCGUGAGGGAACUCGAAAGGAAGUUCAGUGGCAAGGUGGGGGUUGUUUCAUGUUCGAGUCAUUGGGGAUUUGAUGUGAUUCUCAUUUCCACCCGAAGGAUAUUAAGGCCUCCAAAAAAGGGCUCUGCUGUUCAGAGGCCACGCAGCCGUACAUGAGGCAAUGCUCGAAGAUAUCAUUUUACCUGCCGAGAUUGUCGGGAAGCGUCGAUGGAUUGAAGAUGAAUAAGGUACAAACAGUAUGUAGUUAUUGAUGCUAAUGCUAAUUCAUUCUGUGCCACCCUUGUUGUGUAGGUGUAUUUGCACCCGAAGGAACAAAACAACACGGAGUAUAAACUCGAGACCUUUUCUACGGUUUACCGGAAGCUUGCCGGAAAGGAUGUUGUGUUUGAGUUACCCGGUACAGUGACAUAGAUAGAUCCUUUUCAAGUGUAUUGACACUUCGUGUUUUGGUCUUCUUUGCCUCCAAAACUGUUUUGUUGUAGUGUAUCUUAAAAUUUUGGCAUUCAUUUCAUUA